GGAGUCUGGGCCGUGUCUCAGUCCCAAUGUGGCUGAUCAUCCUCUCAGACCAGCUAGAGAUCGUCGCCUAGGUGAGCCUUUACCUCACCUACUAGCUAAUCCCGUUUGGGCACAUCUGAUAGCGCAUUGCUGCUUUCACCCUCAGGCUUUAUGCGGUAUUAGCAGUCGUUUCCAACUGUUGUCCCCCUCUAUCAGGUAGUUUCCCAAAUGUUACUCACCCGUCCGCCACUCAGUCACAAAGUCGUCACCCCGAAGGGAUCGUAACAAAGUGCUUCGUUCGACUUGCAUGUGUUAGGCACGCCGCCAGCGUUCAUC
rnacentral:rRNA from 1 species